rnacentral:lncRNA from 1 species
AUUUGCUUCUCUAUUUAAUUCAUCUCCUGUUGUGUUUCUUUCUUGCUGUCAUCUGAUGUUUGUAUUCUAUCCACAUAUCUUCCAGGUUACUGUCUAAAGUCUAUGCAGAAUGAAAGAAAAUUCUGACUAACUGCUGAGUGGGCCCUUCAGCUCAAAUUAAAUCACCCUGUGGUAUCAGAAAGAACCAAUUCUAAAGAGCAUCUAGAAUGUGUGACUUCCUAUUUUCUCCUUUUUCCAGAAAUGUUUCUCAAACAGUCACUUUCUGCAAAGAUCCAAGAACCAGAUGAAGCCACUGUUAGCCACUGAAAGACUGGCAAAGAAAUAAUUUUGUCAUCUGCUUCUGCAAAACUUCUUUCAGGUAGGCUUUUCCUGAAAGCAUUUGCUGAGCUGAUUAAGGUUACUCCUUGGUUGCUAAUGCAUUGCAGUAAGGUUCAGGUGGUAAAAAGC